rnacentral:lncRNA from 1 species
UGUAAAAUUCAUAUCGAUUUAUAAAUAAAAAUCUAGACCAAUUAAACUUUUUUUGAACAAGCAAGCUAAGGUGAGAAAAGUAACAUCAUCUUUGAAAAACUUAUAUCAUAUAAAUCCGCUAGAAGAUUUGCAGCAUGCAUCUAACAUAAGAGUUAUAUCACUUGUUCACCAUAAACAUUUAAUUUAUAUGUAACUUUAAAAACACUGAAGCAUAAACCAAAACAUAAAGACCUGUGACAUGUCAACAAAAAACAAGCGAAGAUUCUGUUUGGCAUAUGGUAUGUUUGACUACACGAUUUCAGCACACAGGCAAAUGACAAAUUCUACUAUUUUUGUAAAACAAAGUUGCUUUUAAUUUGUUAUUAAAUUUGGUUGGAAAAAUUCAACGACUAAACUCUUCUUUUCCACAAUAAAUUACUUUAACAUAAUUUACGAAAUAGCUGAAAAUAAUAAGUCAACAAAACACAACUUUAUAGAGCUAUAGUUUUCAUAACUUCAAAACUUUUAGCUGAUUUAAGUUGAUUGUCACAUUUUUGAUUAAAUCCAUAUAUACUAGCUACUAAAAAUAAAUUUAGAUAUACAAACUGCUUGGAGGUUGUAAAAACAGUUAUUGAAAAACUUAAAAACCUAAAUUAAUUGUUAAUAUAUUGAUUAAUUCCAUAUGCUAGCCUAAUAAAACUAGAUAUUCAGACAUCUAUAAGGUUGGAAAAACUUUACAACAGUUUUUUUUUUAUUUUUAAAAACUUGAAGAUCAUAAAAAACAAUCAAUAAUUUGUGUUAGUUAUGUUCUCUUAAUAUUAGAUUAUAUAUAAUUUUCUUCUGAAAACUAAAUCAAAAAUCUGUAACCCUUGACAUAACCCUAGAUUCACCAACAAAUAAUGACACACCUCGCCGUUCGUGUAUUACAAUUCCAUAAUAUAAAGUAACAAAUAUAUCUAAUCCUUUACUUUCAAAUAAAACUAAAAAUAAAACCAGAUUCAAUGCAUAAACCAGAACGCCAUCACAUAUACAGCAAACGAAACAACAUAUAUAAUAUGUGAAUAAACUACAAUCUGAUCUAAAACCUACUAGUUAAUCACAAUAUUAAAUACAUAACCCAAUCAUUUAAGGUAAACAACAUUAACAUGUACGGAUCUUAAAAAAUAAUACAAAUCAAAUCAGUAACAUAGCAUAAACCAAAACACCAUCAAAUAUACAUCAAAAACAAACAAAACAACGUAUACAAUAACUCAACAAGCCGAUCUAAAACAGACAAUAGUGAAUCACAAUUCUAGACAAAUAACACAAUCAUUUUAGGUCAACAACAGCAUUACCACGUACCGGAUUUCAAAUAAAAGCACAAAACGAAUCAAUUUCAACACAUAAACCAAAAACACCACCAGAAACACCACCAGGUAUACAUCAAAAACAAACUAAACAACGUAUACUAUAAAUCAACAAACCGACCUGAAAUAGACGACAACGACUCACGAUUCUAGACAAUUUACACAAUCAUUUGAGGCCAACAACAGCAUUAACACGUAGCGGAUUUCAAAUAAAUUACAAAUCGAAUCAGAUUCAACAUAUAAACCAAAAAAACCACCAGAUAUACAUAAAAAACAAACAAAACAACGGAUACAAAAUUUUUAAAACCGAUUUAAAACAAACGAUAGAAGAUCACAAUUCUAGACACAUAACACAAUCAUUCUAGGUCAACAACAACAUCAACAUGUACGGAAUCAUCGAUAUAGAUUAAACAAACAUCAGAUCUAGAUAACGAUACCAUAGCAACUCAAAAUUCUAAAUGCUAACACAAAUCGUUUAGGUCAAAAACAAUAAUAGCAUGUACCAAAUCAUAAAACAGAUUCUAAAAACAUCAGAUCUAGAUAAU